rnacentral:rRNA from 1 species
GACGUAGGGCGCGAGCGUUGUCCGGAUUUAUUGGGCGUAAAGAGCUCGUAGGCGGCUUGUCGUGUCGACCGUGAAAACUUGGGGCUCAACCCCAAGCCUGCGGUCGAUACGGGCAGGCUCGAGUUCGGUAGGGGAGACUGGAAUUCCUGGUGUAGCGGUGAAAUGCGCAGAUAUCAGGAGGAACACCGAUGGCGAAGGCAGGUCUCUGGGCCGAUACUGACGCUGAGGAGCGAAAGCGUGGGGAGCGAACAGG